rnacentral:rRNA from 1 species
UCAGAUUGAACGCUGGCGGAAUGCUUUACACAUGCAAGUCGAACGGCAGCACGGAGAGCUUGCUCUCUGGUGGCGAGUGGCGAACGGGUGAGUAAUAUAUCGGAACGUAUCCAAUAAUGGGGGAUAACGAGUCGAAAGAUUCGCUAAUACCGCAUACGCCCUACGGGGGAAAGCAGGGGAUCGUAAGACCUUGCGUUAAUGGAGCGGCCGAUAUCUGAUUAGCUUGUUGGUGAGGUAAAGGCUCACCAAGGCGACGAUCAGUAGCUGGUUUGAGAGAACGACCAGCCACACUGGAACUGAGACACGGUCCAGACUCCUACGGGAGGCAGCAGUGGGGAAUUUUGGACAAUGGGGGCAACCCUGAUCCAGCCAUUCCGCGUGAGUGAAGAAGGCCUUCGGGUUGUAAAGCUCUUUCGCAAGGGAAGAAAACUUAUGAUCGAAUAAAUCAUGAGGUUGACGGUACCUUGAUAAGAAGCACCGGCUAACUACGUGCCAGCAGCCGCGGUAAUACGUAGGGUGCGAGCGUUAAUCGGAAUUACUGGGCGUAAAGCGUGCGCAGGCGGUUUUGUAAGUCGGAUGUGAAAUCCCCGGGCUCAACCUGGGAACUGCGUUCGAAACUGCAAGGCUAGAGUGUGUCAGAGGGGGGUAGAAUUCCACGUGUAGCAGUGAAAUGCGUAGAGAUGUGGAGGAAUACCAAUGGCGAAGGCAGCCCCC